rnacentral:rRNA from 1 species
UGGGGAAUAUUGCACAAUGGGGGAAACCCGAUGCAGCAACGCCGCGUGAAGGAUGACGGUUUUCGGAUUGUAAACUUCUUUUCUUAGUGACGAAGACAGUGACGGUAGCUAAGGAAUAAGCAUCGGCUAACUACGUGCCAGCAGCCGCGGUAAUACGUAGGAUGCAAGCGUUAUCCGGAUUUACUGGGUGUAAAGGGAGCGCAGGCGGGACUGCAAGUUGGAUGUGAAAUACCGUGGCUUAACCACGGAACUGCAUCCAAAACUGUAGUUCUUGAGUGAAGUAGAGGCAAGCGGAAUUCCGAGUGUAGCGGUGAAAUGCGUAGAUAUUCGGAGGAACACCAGUGGCGAAGGCGGCUUGCUGGGCUUUAACUGACGCUGAGGCUCGAAAGUGUGGGGAGCAAACA